rfam:Sphingobacteriia bacterium RIFOXYD2_FTLL_35_12 rifoxyd2_full_scaffold_87, whole genome shotgun sequence.
CUAUAAACCCGAACCAUCGCUCCAAUUUAUUGGGGAGGAAAGUCCGGACAGUAUAGAGCAACCCACCGGUUAAGCGCCGGCUUCUCAAUUUAUUGGGAAAGAGAGAGUGCCACAGAAAAUAACUACCAUGGUAAAACAUGGAAAAGGUGAAAAUGUGAGGUAAGAGCUCACGAUGACAAAUGGUAACAUUUGUUGAGGGUAAACCUUGGGUACUGUAAUGCCAUGUAAAGGAUUGUUGUAGAGUUGCUCGCUCUCGUUUCCAAUUUAUUGGAGCGCAAUCCAGGGUAGGCAGCAAGAUCACAGCAGUAAUGUUGUGGCUAGAUAAAUGAUGGAGUUGAAACAGAAUCCGGCUUACGAGGUUUAUGGUAUU